GCUCGGCUCACUCAAGCUCGCUGCACCCGCCAGCCCCCAGCCGCGAGACCCUAAGGAGUGUGCCACUUCACAGGGCUGCUGCUCCGGCCUCGAGUUGCCUUGCUGUGGCAGUCUUCCACGACGCACACACGUCUCUCAUUCUUUAAAAAAAAAAAAAACCUUUCCAAAGAAAUAGAAUAAGCAUCAAGCUGGCGGGAGCGAUGGGUCACAUAAAGAAAGGCGAGCUGACCCAGGAGGAAAAGGAACUGCUGGAAGUGAUCGGGAAAGGUACGGUCCAAGAAGCUGGAACUCUGUUGUCUAGUAAGAAUGUUCAUGUCAACUGCUUGGAUGAGAAUGGAAUGACUCCUUUAAUGCAUGCAGCCUAUAAAGGAAAACUUGAUAUGUGCAAAUUACUUUUGCGACACGGAGCUGAUGUCAAUUGCCAUCAACAUGAGCACGGAUACACAGCCCUCAUGUUUGCUGCACUUUCUGGUAAUAAAGACAUCACAUGGGUCAUGCUGGAAGCAGGCGCAGAGACCGAUGUUGUGAACUCUGUGGGAAGAACAGCUGCCCAGAUGGCAGCCUUCGUGGGUCAGCAUGAUUGCGUGGCUAUCAUCAACAAUUUCUUCCCUCGAGAGAGACUGGAUUAUUACACUAAACCCCAGGGACUGGAUAAAGAGCCAAAACUGCCUCCAAAGUUGGCAGGGCCCCUGCACAAAAUCAUCACCACAACGAAUCUCCACCCUGUCAAGAUGCUUGUGAGUGAGAACCCUCUGCUGGCAGAUGCAGCCCCUCUCGGCAAAUGCUACCGGGUGAUGGAUUUGAUCUGUGAGAAAUGCAUGAAACAGACAGACAUGAAUGAAGUGUUGGCUAUGAAAAUGCACUACGUCAGCUGCAUCUUUCAGAAAUGCAUUACCUUCCUCAAAGAAGGAGAGAAUAAGCUGGACACUCUGAUCAAAAGCUUGUUGAAAGGCCGAGCGUCUGAUGGCUUCCCGGUGUAUCAAGAGAAGAUCAUCCGAGAAAGCAUCCGGAGGUUUCCGUACUGUGAAGCCACACUUCUCCAGCCGCUGGUGCGAAGCAUAGCUUCAGUGGAAAUUGGUUCUGAUCCCACCGCAUUCUCUGUGCUUACCCAAGCCAUCACAGGGCAAGUGGGCUUUGGGGAUGUUGAGUUUUGUACCACCUGUGGAGAAAAAGGAGCCAGCAAAAGAUGUUUGGUUUGUAAAAUGGUAAUAUAUUGUGACCAGACCUGCCAGACAACACACUGGUUCGCACAUAAGAAGAUGUGUAAGAGUCUGAAAGAUGUUUAUGAGAAGCAACAGACUGAAGCUGCCAAACAUAAAAGACAGGAGGAAAAAAGUGUAAAGCCUGGUGUCACUUCCAACCAUAUUAAUGAAGAUCAAUCAGAAGCUGAAGUGGGCAUCUCUCAGGAAAAUCCCACUCCUGGUUGA